AGGGACAGGAGCACACACCAUGAUUACACACAUCCAGCUGAUCUGGCCCCUGGCAUUCUGUGUCGCAGGUAUCAAUGGGGAGAUUAUCAUGACCCAGUCUCCCCCGGUGCUGUCAGUGGAACUGGGCCAGACUGCAACCAUCACCUGUACGGCCAGUCAAAGCAUUAGCAGCUACCUCAGUUGGUACCAGCAGCGAGAAGGUCAGAAACCCUCUCUCCUGAUCUAUGCUGCAACAUCUCGAUUCACAGGAGUCUCCGAGCGAUUCACCGGCAGUGGAUCAGGGACCAGUUACACCCUGACAAUCAGCAACGUUCAGAGUGAGGAUGUCGCUGACUAUUACUGUCAGCAGGAUUACAGCUGGUAUAGCAGCUCCGCUCAACACAGUGAUACAGAGCCAUACAAAAACCUCAAGACACACAGCACCACCUCAUGCACUGACACAUCAAUCAGUUAUAUAAAAUGUAUAAUAAUGGACACACAGUCCCACAGCCUGAACUGACACAUCCACAAUUAGAUACAAAUGAAACUGAACAAAUUACCCCAUGCUGGGAUUGUAACUGUCCAUGACACACUCCAGUCCCUGUGGUGUCCACCGCUCACUGAAGGCCUCAAGUUUCCCUCUGACACUCCAUGACCACGCGUGAAGAACAGCUGCAAGAUUUAAUAUCGAAAAAUAAAUUUCACAAAGCUCCCAAGCCCAGCUGGACACAGAGAGAGAUGGAGACAGAAAGACACAUGAAUGAGGGAGAGACAGAGAGGGGCAGAAAGAAGUUGAGAGUGAACGAGAGACUGGGAGACAGGGAGAGGUUGAGAGUGAUGGGGGGGAAGCAGAGAGCAGAGGUUUUUGUACAGCCUCUGCACUGGGAACUCUCACUGUGGGACACGUUCGGUAAAGGAACCAAGCUCAGACUGAGCCGUGAGAACUCUCAGCCCAAGCUGACCUUGCUGCCCCCCUCCCCGGAGCAGGUCAAUGCCAAGGGCACUGCCACCCUGGUGUGCCUUGCCAAUCACUUCUAUCCCGAUGAGCUGGAGGUGCAGUGGAAGAAGGACGGUGCAGUCAUUUCGGACGGGGUUCAGACCAGCAACUACCUGCGAGCUUCAGACAGCACCUACAGUGUCAGCAGCCUGCUGACCCUCUCUGGGUCUGACUGGGAGUCCGACGCUCGCUUCUCCUGUGCCCUCACCCACGUGACCCUCCCCUCUCCCCUCAGCAAGAGCAUCAGGAGAUCAGAAUGUGUGUAGAGUGUUGGAGACAGUCCACAGAGGAGACACAACUUUAAACAGAACAGGGCUGAGCUGGCAGGACAAAGGUCAUUGUCAGCACUGAAUUUCAACUCUCUUCCUUCUCAGGAUUGCUCAGAGAAACUUCUGAGGUUUGGAUAUUAAAGCAGGUCAUCGCGACAGUGUCAAGAGAGCUUUACACUGUGUCAAACCCCAUGCUGUCCUUGUCCUGGGAAUGUUUGAUGGGGACAGGAUUGCCUUGUUAUGUUAGCUGCACAAAACAAUGUGAACCUCAGAAGUCUCUGCUUCAGUAAACCAGAUCUCCUUCCUGCUCAGCUGCCAGUUCCAGUUUAAGGUUUUGUCACUGUUUAAAGGGACAGGAUUCUCAUGUUAUUGAGAAAAUCUCUCCAAGUGUUUUCCUCAAUCUCCA